rnacentral:rRNA from 1 species
GACGAACCGUGCGAACGUUGUUCGGAAUCACUGGGCUUAAAGGGUGCGUAGGUGGUUAAUUAAGUCAGUGGUGAAAUCUUCAGGCUUAACCUGGAAACUGCCAUUGAUACUAUUUAUCUUGAAUACUUUGGAGGUAAGCGGAAUAUGUCAUGUAGCGGUGAAAUGCUUAGAUAUGACAUAGAACACCAAUUGCGAAGGCAGCUUACUACACAGUAAUUGACACUGAGGCACGAAAGCGUGGGAAUCAAACAGG